rnacentral:snRNA from 1 species
AGUUUUGCACAGUGGCAAUAUCGUAGCCAGUGAGGUUUAUCUGAGGUGUGAUUGUUGCUAAUUAAAAAAAAAAAGGACCCUCUCUUCCAGGAAGACUUCCUUCAUGCUCUCCAGGC